GUUUGUUUGAGCGGCUGCGAGGCGAGCAGCAUCAGAUCCGCUGCGAGUGUAGAUCGGUGUGUGAGUCUCCGAUACCCCGCAAACCGCUCAAAAUAAACCCGGGGACACGUUAAAGCACAUAUACGGCUGCCUCUCCGCCGGGAGAGGAGGAGGAGCAGCGGGAGGUUUCGCUUCCUGGACAGCCUCUCCGCGCGGGGGGAUCGAGCCGGGCCAUGGCGCGGGACUAUGAUUACCUCUUCAAGCUGCUCAUCAUCGGCGACAGCGGUGUUGGCAAAAGUAGUUUACUGCUGAGAUUUGCUGAUAACACAUUUUCAGGCAGCUACAUCACCACCAUCGGCGUGGACUUCAAGAUUCGCACGGUGGAGAUCAACGGGGAGAAAGUCAAGCUGCAGAUUUGGGACACAGCGGGACAGGAGAGAUUUCGGACGAUCACCUCCACGUACUAUAGAGGCACUCACGGCGUUAUAGUGGUUUAUGACGUCUCCAGCGCCGAAUCGUUCGUGAACGUCAAACGCUGGCUUCAUGAAAUCAAUCAAAACUGUGACGACGUUUGUCGAAUAUUAGUGGGUAAUAAGAAUGACGAUCCCGCCUCUAAAGUGGUGGAGACCAACGACGCGCAGAAGUUUGCUGAGCAGAUGUGCAUCCGACUGUUUGAGACCAGCGCCAAGGAGAACGUCAACGUCGAGGACAUGUUCAACUGCAUCACUGAGCUCGUCCUGAAGGUCCGGAAAGAGUCUGUGGCCAAACAGCAGCAGCAGAGCGAAGUCGUCAAACUGAGUAAGAGCAGCAAACGCAAGAAGAAAUGCUGCUAAUGGACCGGACUCAUGUAUACACACACACCCACACACACACCCUUAGAGAGCCAAUCGACGAAACGCCACUGAACUGACAAGAGCCAGACGGCUUAACACACUUAACCCAACCCGUGAGAGACUAGUAAUGAGAGAGAUUUACUAAUGAUGAGCCCGUUUGGAUUUGGGAGGACGCCUACAGACUCCGAUGUUUUAGCAGGAUUGGAUUCCAGUGGCAUCGCACUUCAUUGUUGUUUUUUUUCCCCUGAAGAUCUGCCGCAGAAAUGUUAAAAUAGAAAAUGAAACGUCUGCAUCUUCGUCAUUGUCUGCGUUUCACAUGCUGUGGAAUCAUACCAACAAGCCCUAAUGUGAGCGACUGCAGUGUUAAUGUGACUUAACAUCUACCGACACCAAUCAGGACCACAUAUAAGUUGGAGAACAUUAUGAAUUUUCCCAUAUUUUCAUGCACGUCGUCACAGACGGACCAAAUGUGUGCUGCUCUGCCAACUACCAAGAGACAUUUGUUUUGCCUUUUGCGUUCUUUUUUGUCAUUCAUUUUUGUAAAAUUUAUUUUUUUUACUAACAAAUUAUACAAUCAAACACACAGUAGUGUUUAAUGAAUCUGGUGCCACUGACUGAAAGUUAUUAUAUUUACAAAGCUGCGAGGAAACGCUGAAUCUCAUGUGCAACUGCAUGAAAGCGCGGAUUUAAGGGUUGAUGCAAAAAUUGAUCAGCUGAAAAUGUGCUGUGCAAGAUUAGGAUGAGUUUGUUUCUUCAUCAGGUUUGUAGAAAUGUAGCAC